UACGUAGGGUGCGAGCGUUGUCCGGAAUUAUUGGGCGUAAAGGGCGCGUAGGCGGCCAUGCGUGUCUUCCGUGAAAUCCCUCGGCUUAACUGAGGACGUGCGGAAGAAACUGCAAGGCUUGAGUCCGGGAGAGGGGGGUGGAAUUCCCAGUGUAGCGGUGAAAUGCGUAGAUAUUGGGAGGAACACCGGUGGCGAAGGCGGCCCCCUGGACCGGUACUGACGCUGAGGCGCGAAAGCGUGGGUAGCAAACAGG
rnacentral:rRNA from 1 species